AUUGAACGCUGGCGGCAGGCCUAACACAUGCAAGUCGAGCGGAUGAAGGGAGCUUGCUCCUGGAUUCAGCGGCGGACGGGUGAGUAAUGCCUAGGAAUCUGCCUGGUAGUGGGGGAUAACGUCCGGAAACGGGCGCUAAUACCGCAUACGUCCUGCGGGAGAAAGUGGGGGAUCUUCGGACCUCACGCUAUCAGAUGAGCCUAGGUCGGAUUAGCUAGUUGGUGGGGUAAAGGCCUACCAAGGCGACGAUCCGUAACUGGUCUGAGAGGAUGAUCAGUCACACUGGAACUGAGACACGGUCCAGACUCCUACGGGAGGCAGCAGUGGGGAAUUUUGGACAAUGGGCGAAAGCCUGAUCCAGCCAUGCCGCGUGUGUGAAGAAGGUCUUCGGAUUGUAAAGCACUUUAAGUUGGGAGGAAGGGCAGUAAGCUAAUACCUUGCUGUUUUGACGUUACCAACAGAAUAAGCACCGGCUAACUUCGUG
rnacentral:rRNA from 1 species